rnacentral:rRNA from 1 species
AUAGGGGAGCCGAAGGGAAACCGAGUCUUAACUGGGCGUUAAGUUGCAGGGUAUAGACCCGAAACCCGGUGAUCUAGCCAUGGGCAGGUUGAAGGUUGGGUAACACUAACUGGAGGACCGAACCGACUAAUGUUGAAAAAUUAGCGGAUGACUUGUGGCUGGGGGUGAAAGGCCAAUCAAACCGGGAGAUAGCUGGUUCUCCCCGAAAGCUAUUUAGGUAGCGCCUCGUGAACUCAUCUUCGGGGGUAGAGCACUGUUUCGGCUAGGGGGGCAUCCCGACUUACCAACCCGAUGCAAACUGCGAAUACCGAAGAAUGUUAUCACGGGAGACACACGGCGGGUGCUAACGUCCGUCGUGAAGAGGGAAACAACCCAGACCGCCAGCUAAGGUCCCAAAGUCACAGUUAAGUGGGAAACGAUGUGGGAAGGCUCAGACAGCCAGGAUGUUGGCUUAGAAGCAGCCAUCAUUUAAAGAAAGCGUAAUAGCUCACUGGUCGAGUCGGCCUGCGCGGAAGAUGUAACGGGGCUAAACUGUGCACCGAAGCUGCGGCAGCGACGCUUAUGCGUUGUUGGGUAGGGGAGCGUUCUGUAAGCCUGCGAAGGUGUCCUGUGAGGGAUGCUGGAGGUAUCAGAAGUGCGAAUGCUGACAUAAGUAACGAUAA